GUCGUACAGGUCUCCGUAGGUGAACCUGCGGAGGGAUCAUUACACAAUAUGAAGGCGGGCUGGACACCCUCCAGCCGGGCACUGCUUCACGGCGUGCGCGGCUGGAGCCGGCCCUGCUGAAUUAUUCACCCGUGUCUUUUGCGUACUUCUUGUUUCCUGGGUGGGCUCGCCCGCCAUCAGGACCAACCAUAAACCUUUUUGUAAUAGCAAUCAGCGUCAGUAACAAAUUAAUAAUUACAACUUUCAACAACGGAUCUCUUGGUUCUGGCAUCGAUGAAGAACGCAGCGAAAUGCGAUAAGUAGUGUGAAUUGCAGAAUUCAGUGAAUCAUCGAAUCUUUGAACGCACAUUGCGCCCUUUGGUAUUCCAAAGGGCAUGCCUGUUCGAGCGUCAUUUGUACCCUCAAGCUUUGCUUGGUGUUGGGCGUCUUGUCUCUAGCUUUGCUGGAGACUCGCCUUAAAGUAAUUGGCAGCCGGCCUACUGGUUUCGGAGCGCAGCACAAGUCGCACUCUCUAUCAGCAAAGGUCUAGCAUCCAUUAAGCCUUUUUUUCAACUUUUGACCUCGGAUCAGGUAGGGAUACCCGCUGAACUUAAGCAUAUCA
rnacentral:rRNA from 1 species